UCUUUUGGUGAAGACUAAUCGUGGAUGGAUCGAUGUACGGUUUCGAACACACCGGAUGCCGUGAAUUUGCGAGGCCAUCGGAUCCAAUACCCCUUUGUGUUCGUCGGGACUGGGCCAAUAGCUCAUAUGUCUUCUUUCCCUUGCUACAAUCUCCUCUCUUUAGAUCUUGGUCUAGAUUUUGUUGUGUUUAUGCUUGUUCGUUCUUGCUGAAUCCGUUCGUUCAGGGUUCUAACGUUUUUCCGAUACCGUAUAUUUUCUCCGACGUCCCUUUAUCAGGGAAAAAUUAAUAUAAUUUUGUUACAAUUAAAAAAGAAAGAAGGAGAGAGAGAGAAUGAUACAAGUGAUAGGGUUACCAGUGUCUUUUUGCAUCUACUGUUAUUGGGCUCCACAUGUUUUUUCCAUUCUUGCAAAUUUCAUUAUUAUUGUAUAUUUUUUAUGCAAAUCGCUCUAAUUUUUUUAGAUCUAAUUAAAAUAAAUAAAAAUUAAAAAUAAUCGACCAAUCAAAUUAUAAUAAUUUUUUUGAAACUUCACCUAUGACUUAUGAACGACAUGUCACCCGACCUCACUAAAGUGACUUCUCUUUUAAUAUAUAGGAAGAUUAUAAGGAGAAAGUUUUUGUUCUCUCCUCAGCCUAUCCACGUGUCUCUUUUAAUUUUUUGUGGGUUCCACUGAAACAAUAAAUAUUCUUUACAUAAAUUAAUUUUGUGUUGUGAUUUCGAUAUAUUAUUUGUCUUUGAGUUUGGGUUAUCUAAUAUAUAUAAACGAAUCCAAUAAUCCAUCCAGCCCAUUGGCAAGCCAGCUUAUUAAUGAUGUUGUCGUUUCAAAAGACAUCCAAACUCAGCGUUUAAGGUUUCACUCAAUUGGGUCUGAAGUCGCCUCCAUCUUAGACGAUCCAAGUCUUUGCCAUUGUUGCAAUAAAAACUUUGUUUUGUCAACUUUUGAUCUCCCCUAUUUUUUCAGUUCCGUCUCUUGCUUAUUCUUCAUUCAAUGUUUCUCUCUUAACAUAUACAAUGAAUCUUCAGUUGCCCAUACAGCUGUCCGCCACUCAGCCUCCAACGCUCUCUGACUUGGCCUCACUUCUUUGUUGUUCGCCUCAUCCGCUUUUGGUAUUCACAUAACAUCAAGAAAAAUAAUGAAUUUAUAGGAAUCACCCUCCUUUGCCUAGAUGAAUAGGAGAAAGGCAGGCUCAUAUCAACAAUGCUGUUGGUAAGAAAAGUUCUGCAAUCUUGGACCUGAAGCUGCAAAGAUGGACCAAGUGAAUUGAGCACAUGGUGAGGCUGAACCAAUACUGGCUAGAGCACAAGUAACUACUAGAGGUCUUGCCAUGUUAUCCCAGUCUCUCAAAGAAACUGGGGGAGUAGAGAUGAGUUUUAACAAACCUAGCUUGGUUAUUUAAUUCUUCGUACUAUUUUUUUAUUCACUAUAGACAAAGGUUUUAUGUCAAAUUGAGAUGGUUUUAUGUCAUAUAUAUUCAUGGGUUGAAAGCUUGUAUUUUUAGCCGUCCAAAUGUGAUCUUAUACCUUAUCACUGUACAAUUUUUCAGGCUGCUAGUUUGAGAGUUGCAGAGCAAUACAUUCAAGCGUUCAGUAACAUUGCCAAGGAGGGUGCGACAAUGUUGCUUCCAAAUUCCAAUUAUGGCUUCAAAUCCUGCUAGCAUGAUUGCUCAAGCUUUAACAAUGUACAAAAGCCUUGUGAACCAAAUUCCAAAGAGCGAUGACCAAGAGACAUCAGCAGUGAAUGUGACUGGGAAAGAUAUUCAGAAGGGUCUAAAAACCGAUCAUGCUCAACAACAUUCGAAACAGAGAAACCAGGCCACACCGUUGAACCAGUAUUUUCUCUUCAGAGUGCAACAAGGAGCCAUAGUAGCCAGCUAAACCAAGGAUGAGUGGUGCCUGAACGAACAUAAAAUCCAUUUUUUCCAGUUUUCAAAAAAUGAGACAUGAUAUCGUCUUCCCUGUUUGAGCGGCAUGAAUAUCAUAUGCCAUUUGGCCAAUAGAAAACAUAUAUGAACAUCUAUUCUCUGAAAGUGUUUUCCCCAAAUGAUUUGGUCUGAACA